UAGCCUCACUGCUCUAAGACUAUUGCUGAUAACUUACAUGAAUUGUGCUUAGUUAUAACCAUAUUUCUUGGACACUGGAUUUUGCCUGCCAUGGGUAGUUUGGCCAUUUUUGGCAGCAUGUGUCCUUUCCUUGUGGGCAGGUUUAAUUUCAGAAUUACUGUCUAUGCUAGUAAUAUUUUAUUCUUCUGAAAGAAAUUUGACAACACACAGCCAGGGUAUGAAUGCACAGGCCCUUGGUAAGAUGUUAAGAGAGGGUUGACUUCUAACAAUAAGAAUAUGGUAGAAUGAUAACCAUCGUUGAUGGGAGAACUCCUAGGUAAAUUGUAUUUGUUGCUUCACAGAUAUCAUCUAUAAGCAUCAGAAUCAUUCUGAUCAUUCUGAAUGCUGAUUAUAUUGCCAUUUUACAGAUAAAGAAAAUUAAGUUCAAAUACACUAAGUCACUUGCCCAAGGAUUAAGUUGUUAGUUGUAGAAAAAUCAACAUUGAAUUCAACCAAUCCUGACUUAAAAACCUGUGCCUUCCAAACUGCCAUGAAAUCAGGUCUCAUUUUUAAUACUCCUGGAGCAGAUGUUUAGUAAUAAAAAUAUUCAUUUCCAGAAACACAUAGAAAAAAUAUAGGAUAUUUUUCCUAAUACCCUUUGUCAACAUCUCUGGGAAAUUGUCCUUAGCUCCCUAACACACUCAUCAUUUGAGGUUUUUUUCCUUAACUUGGGGAUGUACAAAUUAAAUAAUAGUGCCAGUUUUACAAUAAGGGUUUUAUUUGGCUAGAUUGCCUUGACAUGAUUUGGUCAGGUUGUUACCCAUUAAUUGAUGGAAGCAUCCCUCUGUACCAUGGCUUGUAUCUGCACACCACACCAGCCCCUUGAUUUUAUGUCAUUCUAGAAAGGUAUACUGGAAUUAAUGAGUAGAACAUUUAGGGGACUUUGUUUACAAUACUCCCUCUUCUGAAUAAAGUAGGAGAAUUUAGACAAUUAUCUGGAAAAUUACUCUCCAGUUGGCACUGGGCUUAAAUACAUCAACUCUACACCUCUUGUCUGCAUGUGCUGGCCUUGGGUAAUGGUUUUAUCUGGGCUGCUGUGUAUUUGUUUGGAGAAAGGGACAUAUCACAGAGCACACAUCUUAACACCAUUAUUCAUCUCAUUAUAAAUGACACUUACAAAUAUGAAGGAGGUGGGGGCUCACUUAUGAAGUAUUCAUGACAUAGCCCUUUCCCAUCAUCUUACAUCCGCCCACUCUGACAUUUCCUGAUCCAAAUCACGUAGUAAUUCUUCUCCUCAUCCUAUGUUUUCCACACAUUCUUUCAGGUCAAUACACAGAUGCUUUUACUUCUCUGAGUUUGAAAAAAUAAAUCAUCCUCCCACACCCAUCUAUAAAAGAUUAUUCAAGGUCAUGACAAUAACAACUCUUUCUUCCUGUGCACAAAAGAAUAACUUUGCUCCCUUACAAUGGAUAUUCUUUGUUUGUUUGCCUUAAGAGACUCUUAGGAUGAAAAAUAUAAAAAUAAUAAGUUGGAGUUUCCAUUGCCCUUCGCGAAUUCAAAAUGGCCUGCUAAUAUGACUUAACACAUAUUAUAUUGAAAGUAAGAGCUUUCUGGGUGCAUUAAAACAUUUAGGCCAGUUGGUUCCCAACCUUAACUGCACAUGAGAUCACCUGAAACACAUUAAUAUAUGUUGUUGGUUGUUUCUGGUCUUCAUUCCUCAGUAUUUUUAUUUAUUUAUUUAUUUUUGCUUCUUAGGGCCACACCUGCGGCAUAUGGAGGUUCCCAGGCUAGGGCUCAAAUUGGAGCUGUAGCUGCUGGCCUACACCACAGCCACAGCAACAUGGGACCCGAGCUGUAUCUGCAACCUACACCGCAGCUCAUGGCAACGCUGGAUCCUUAACCCACUGAGGAAGGCCAGGGAUUAAACCCACAUCCUCACGGAUACCUUGACUAUUCAUUUCUCCUGAGCCACAGUGGGAACUCCCUCAAUAUCUUGAUUACAAUAAUCUAGGUUGGGUCCUCAGCAUCAGCAUUGUUUUUAACAUGUUAAGUGAGCAGCCAGAGUUGAAAAAUCACUCAUGUGGACAACAUGACACAGGAGUUAAGAACACAGACUUUGUAGUCAGACAGACUGAAGGUUGGAUCUUAGCUCUCUCAUAAGCUGUUAAAUCUUGGGCAAUUUAUUAACCUUUUCUUCCCUUCAGCUUCUUCAUCUAUAAAAUGACUUGUCUAUAUUCACUUAAAAAACUGUUAGGGGAAUGGAAUGAGGUAAUAAACAUAACAUACUUAGGGAGUGCUGAUACUUAGUCACUACUCAGUGUUUUUAUUAGUGUGAUGUUUCAAUUUCUCAGGAUUUGUAGCUGUGACUCUAUGGCAAGGCACUAGCCUGGAGACAAGCAUUUUCACUAACAUCUCACUUAAAUAUCCAUAUUCAAAUGUAUUACAGAUAUCAAUAAUAGUGAUUGUGAACAUUUAUUAGCAACAAUAGUAUGUGUCCCUCCCUGUGUUGAAUCUUUUAUGUAAAUUAUAUUGUUAACCCGCUCAAAUUUUGACAUGAACUUUAAUCUAUUUUUACAGCGGAAGACACAGAUUUUGAGAGAUUGAAAUCUUUUCUCAAAUCACCUGGUAUGCAGAGUUGGGACUCAAAUCCAUGCCUGAGCAUAUCUAAACUCAAACUUUCAACCAUUUUACUGCAUUGCCCCCAGAGUAACAAAUGUGUACAUGACCAGUAUACCGUCUCUUUAAACAAAGCACACUUUCUUGUUCCCUCUUUCACUAAACUCAGAGAACAAAAACCAGGACCAGCUUCCUAAGUGUACAGCCAUGCAGUGCAAUCACACAGGACCCCUUGAGCAGAAGAGCCCAGUGCGCAGAAGAACUCUAUGCCUGGGAUUUAACUCUUUGCAGUUGCCAUCUUGAAAUAACUGUAUCUUUCAAUUUAUGUUUUGUAAGUUGAAUGUAACAGGAUAACAGGAUAAGAGAGGGCGCACCAGGGACUUGGCAGCUACGCUGAUAGAUAGUCCUGCUUCCUAUUUCCUUUCUGACAUGGGUCCCCAGUUACCCAUUCUCAGCUAGCUGGUGCCUUGGGAUCAUCACAGCCUUCCCCCUGCCCCUCAUGUUCUGAUCACACUGCUGCUCUUUCCGUCCUCCCAAGUUGGAGACCUUGGUUGGGGGAUGAUGAGGGAUGUAUUUCACCACCACUCUCUGUGCCUGACAGGGGCCUGGGCUGCAGGAGGGUGGAACCUGUGUGUACAUCAUCACGUGAUAUGUCUGGGCAAAGCAAGAAGGCAGUCAUCCCCAACCUUAUGUGACAGUGCCAUGGCUCAUUCAGCAGGUAACUUGGAAGGGACCUCUUAAUCAUCCUAUUUCCAGAUAUCUAGUACCCUCUAAUGCAGAAGUCCUAAUCUUUUAGUAGUCACCCAUCCGCUUUGGUUUGAGGUGACACCUCCAUGGAAAGGAAGAGUUUUGAAAGGAUAAUGGUAAUGUGAAGCUACCAUAGCUUGAUGAGAUCAGGGAGAAACAGUAUGCCCAGAGUUUAGAAUCAUGGGCUCUGGAGUUUUAAAUGGUCUCAAUAGAAAUCCCAAUCCUGCUAUUUGUUACUUUGUGAUUUGGAGAAGGUAACUUACCAUCUCUAAGCUUCCGUUUCCUCUUCUACACACCUAGCAUAAUAAUCAUACUAACCUCUGGAGCUUGAUUUAGGAUUAGGUAAGACAAAUGUGUGUGAAGCAAUCAUUUAUCAACGUCUGAGGCAUAGUAAGCGCUGGGUAAGUGUGGUUAUUACUAUGUAUUUUUUUUCUUGCAUGACAUCUCUCUUGGCUGAUACCAAGUUUAUUACAAUGACGUAUAUGACCCUAUGAAGAAAUGACUUCUAGGAAGUAUGGCCCUUCUUAUUUCUCACCCCACUUUCUAGGUACCACCAAUAAAACCCAUUUUAUUUCCUAUUUUUUAAAUCAAAUUUAAGGGAAUUACAGUUUCUUAUAGUACACUUUCAUAAGCCAUCUCAGAAAAUAUGUUCUGUCCGAAAUGAAAAGUUUGGCUUUGCUUUUCUCCCUUUCUACUGCCCAGAUGCCAUAAUUGAAGUAGAAUAAGAGAAGCAUUGAAGUAACAGCUUCAUCCUGCACAUCCUCUACCCCCAACAGGACCCACAUCCACAUCCACAUCCACACUUCUUCCUUCCUCCUCCCCUUGCUCUCUGGGGCCAUCCAUUCACGUACUCAUGCUAAUGUUCCUUGAAACAUUUAAGAUGCAUUUCCAAGUGACAGGAAGGGCUACCAUACAGAAGCAUCAUCUUUUUUUUUUUUUUUUCCAUUCUCCAACACAUUAAUUGGUUAGAUUGAUUUUUUUUCUGGACCAGCAAGGAAAGGAAAUAUGCAUUAAAGAAAGAUUGAUAGGAUAACAUGAUUGUUUGUGUUUGGAAAUGCACUUUUUCUCAGAAAUAAAUACACAGGACAUCAAGAAGCCUAGAAAGAUCAAGAAGUACAUUUCUUGUCUUCAUUCAUCUCAUUGAGGUUAAAAUACAGUCUCCUGAGUAGAAAUUCCAUUUGCAGAUAUUAACCAGUCAGUCAUCCAGAGAAAAUAUAAGUGGAAAAUAAACCUACAACAAAACUAAAUCCUAUAAAUGAUUAAAAUUAAAACAACAGUAACGUUUUUCUUUGCAUUUAUAAAUUUAACAGAUUUUUCUUAAAAUUAAUUUUGGUGAUGAGGGUAUAGCAAAGUGUACACUGUUAUAAAUUACUAGUGAGAAGGUAAAUUGUACAACUUUCACGACUAUGAUUUUAAAAUUGUGUCUUAAAAAUCUCAAAACUGUUAGUUCUUUGAGUUCCAUUAUUCCAUAUCUGGGAAUGUUGCCUAAGAAAACAAUAGGAAAUAUGGACAAAGAUUUAUACAGGUUUCCUCCAGUUUCUGAAAGUAGACUGUUCCUCUGAAAUCUUUUAUAAGCUGAAAUGGUGUAAAGAGAGGAAGCAAUUAGGAGAUGUCUUGCUAAUGGAUGCACAAAAUAAAUGGAGAUAAAGCACUGAUGCUCACAGACACAGUUCAAAACUAUGGAGGCUCGAUGCUGAGUGUGGUUCCCUGGGAACAAGUGUGGCAGUGCCACUCUCACUACUGCUCAGGGUGCCUGAUGUCUCUAUAGCAGCCCCCUGCAAAAACAAACACUAAAUGCCAUUUUCCCUUUUAGCCUUUUUUUUUUUUUUCCAUCAAAGCCAAAAUCCUCUUAUGAUUUCUUUCAAUUUGCAAGAACAGGUACUAAUGUAAGUCUUUCUUCAAAGCAAAGUAGUUAAAGUGAACUUUGGAAAAGCGAGGAGAAGCCCUGUAUAUUAAAAUGUUUAUUUGCAUCAUCAGUUACAGUAAUAAAUAUCUGACUACAAGCUGAAUGUCAAAAGAUAUGGGAUGAAUAAAUUAUUAUUGUUUAUUACCUCUCCUCUAAUCCCCACCCCCACCCCUGGUAUUCAUACUCUUUACCUCUCACUGGGUCUCACUGUCUUUUCUAGUUUGAUAAUGUUUGUCUGAGGUUAAUGAGGCAAAUGGGAGGAAAGGUCCUGCACUACUGGUGCAGCCAUAAUCUGCAUUUGAUUUCCCCUGGAGUGCAUUUGUAGCUGAUCAUUGUCACCACUGGGGAUUCUGCACUGUUCUUUCCCUUACUAUGGGCCACGUCUCCACUAGAAAAGCCACUUAACACAUACUCUGUUGGAAGUUUCAACACCCAUCAAUGCAGUAAUUAUGUCAGUUCUUUUUAUAAUGAGUUCAAGAAGGAUAUCUACUGUGUAGUUCCCAAUUGGUCCAUAAGAAAUAAUCAUACAUUGCUUGUCCUAAAAAUUCUAGAUAUCCAUGACUUUCUCAAGGGAGUCACCUCUUCUUUUCCCACCAUCACAGUAGCUGUCUAGUCAAAACUCUCAUAAUUUUAGGCCUUUUCAGAAAAGGAUUUGACACCAGCUACUGUGCUCCCACAGAUACUAGGGAACAAAAGUCAAGCUGUCCAAGUGGUCUUUUGGAAUCCUCUCUUACUUGUCUUGGAGGGAAACAGAAAAACCCUCUCCUUGCCCCUUGAAGAAUAGAGUAUGUAGCUUUACUUCAAGUUGUUUUUCCAAGGAAACUUCCUCUCCCAGACUUCUAACCUCCAUUCUCUUAUAUACUCUUGAAUAAGUGUCAUGCCACAG
rnacentral:lncRNA from 1 species